AUGUUCUCUGUAGCUCUGCUGCUGCUGUUGGCAGCUGGAUGUGUGAAGUGUGAAUGUAAAAAGGGCGAAGAGCGAAGGGCCGAGGGCCUGACACAGCCAGCCUCUGUGGCUGUGCAGCCAGGUCAACGUCUGACCAUCACCUGUCAGGUCUCUUAUUCUCUUGGUAGCUACUACACAGCUUGGAUCAGACAGCCUGCAGGGAAAGGACUGGAGUGGAUUGGAAUGAAAUAUACUGGAGCUUCAUACUACAAAGAUUCCCUGAAGAACAAGUUCAGUAUCGACUUAGAGACUUCCAGCAACACAGUGACUCUAAAUGGACAGAAUGUGCAGCCUGAAGACACUGCUGUGUAUUACUGUGCCAGAGAGCCACAGUAA